rnacentral:rRNA from 1 species
AGUGAACGCUGGCGGUAGGCCUAACACAUGCAAGUCGAACGGCAGCACAGUAAGAGCUUGCUCUUACGGGUGGCGAGUGGCGGACGGGUGAGGAAUACAUCGGAAUCUACUUUUUCGUGGGGGAUAACGUAGGGAAACUUACGAUAAGACCGCAUACGACCUACGGGUGAAAGCAGGGGAUCUUCGGACCUUGCGCGAUUGAAUGAGCCGAUGUCGGAUUAGCUAGUUGGCGGGGUAAAGGCCCACCAAGGCGACGAUCCGUAGCUGGUCUGAGAGGAUGAUCAGCCACACUGGAACUGAGACACGGUCCAGACUCCUACGGGAGGCAGCAGUGGGGAAUAUUGGACAAUGGGCGCAAGCCUGAUCCAGCCAUACCGCGUGGGUGAAGAAGGCCUUCGGGUUGUAAAGCCCUUUUGUUGGGAAAGAAAAGCAGCAGGUUAAUACCCCGCUGUUCUGACGGUACCCAAAGAAUAAGCACCGGCUAACUUCGUG